GUACACAUAGAAAGACUUCAAACUGCUGCCUGGAAGUGCCUUCUGGAAUCAGAUAACAUGCAUCAAGAGUAAGACAACCAAACCACAGGGUAGAGGUUUGCAGUGGUGUCACACACAGCUGCCAGCAGGUGUUGCAGCAGGUGACUACGUAAAGCUAUUCACUCAACUCCAGCACUCCAGUUACUUGCUCUUUACAGCAAGGAAAGCAGAGAAAACAAAGAGGAUGUUAGCUUUAACUUCAAAGCCCUCAUACCUCCAGCUUCAGCUCUUUACCCAAGGCAGUGCAGCCCAGAAAAGCAGCAGCAGGAUCCCAGCAUACAGAAUUAAGAAACCACAAGACUGGGAAUCACAGAAUCGUUUAGGUUGGAAGGGACCUCUGGAGAUCAUCUAGUCCAACC
rnacentral:lncRNA from 1 species